rnacentral:rRNA from 1 species
GCGCGAAAGCGUGACGGGGGGAAUCCGAGUGCUCUUCUUACGAGGAGCUUUUUGUAAGUUUAGCUUGCUUGCAGAAUAAGUGGUGGGCAAAUCCUGUGCCAGCCGCCGCGGUAAUACAGGUAGCACAAGUAGUAUCCGCGAAUAUUGAGUCUAAAGCGCCCGUAGCCGGUUCAGCCAGUUUCUUGUCAAAUCAUACAGCUUAACUGUAUGGUUGCAGGGAAUACUACUAGACUAGGGAGUGGGGGAGGUCAGAGGUACUUUAGGGGGAGGAGUAAAAUCCUGUAAUCCUUAGAGGACCCACGGUGGCGAAAGCGUCUGACCAAAACACAUCCGACGGUGAGGGACGAAGGCUAGGGGAGCGAACCGGAUUAGAUACCCGGGUAGUCCUAGCAGUAAAUGAUGCAGACUAGGCGUUGCAGUCACUACGUGUGGCUGCAGUGCCGUAGGGAAGCUGUUUAGUCUGCCACUUGGGGAGUACGGUC